GACUACUGGGGUAUCUAAGCCCGUUCGCUCCCCUGGCUUUCGAGCAUCAGUGUCAGAACCGGCCCAGAAAACCACCUUCGUCACCGGCGUUCCUGCCAAUAUCUAAGGAUUUUACCCCUACACUGGCAGUUCCGUCUUCCUCUACCGUCCUCAAGCCUACCAGUUUCAACUGCAAGUCCGGAGUUGAGCUCCGGGUUUUCACAGUUGACAUGUUAGGCCACCUACGCUCCCUUUACGCCCAGUGAUUCCGGGUAACGCUCGCCCCCUACGUAUUACCGCGGCUGCUGGCACGUAGUUAGCCGGGGCUUUCUAGUAAGGUACCAUCCCUCUAUGUAGCUUUCCACUCUACAUAGCAUUUUUCCCUUACCACAGCAGUUUACAAUCCGAAGACCUUCUUCCUGCACGCGGCGUCGCUAGAUCAGAGUUCCCUCCAUUAUCUAAAAUUCCCCACUGCAGCCCCCCGUAGG
rnacentral:rRNA from 1 species